CCCCAGGUAUGGAGCCCAGGCCCUGAGGCAGGACGAUGAGAAAACCGAGGCAUUGAAAGCUGGAAAGGGGCAGAGACCAGACUCAAACAAUAUUUUCCUGGCUCUGCUCGUUACAACCUGCUUCCUUAAGCCUAAACUUGGCUCUUGCCUCACAGGACUAUCUUGCGGGAACCUAGGUCACUCAUUAAAAUCAGCCAAAAUAGGACUUUCCAGGACGUACUUAGUGGCCACAUAGCAACCUCUGAGAGGAACCAAGGAAGCAGCUGCUGAGUCCACAGAGGAUGAAGAGACACGCAGGGCAGGAGUCUUUCAGAGCUACGCUGCAAAGUGCUUUCUUCUCCUGAGAUUGGACCAGAAACCCACCUUGCUCCAUCCUAAGGCAGAGGAGGUGGAGAUCUCAGAAAGCAUUUCCUCCAUUACCUACAGAUGGAGAAUUAAGGCACAGAGAAGGCGGGAAGGACAAUCAUGGCGAUCACAAGACAGCCUGCAGGGAUCUGAUUCCACAUCCACCUUGAUGGGUGGAGAGGACUAGAAACCAGAGAACACCCCCAUCUCUAAUGCCACAAGAGGUCCCUGAUGUAGAAUCUUGCAGGAAUGAGAAGGCUCCAUGAGACGGGACAAGGUGGAAGCAGAGAGCAGCCAUGAUAGGUAAAAUCUCCCAGCCACCCCACUGAUCGAAACCUGAAGACUUGAGGCUUCUGGUUCCUGAGGGUCUGUGCUAGUGGUCUUCAUCUAUUUGCACUCAAGCACAAGAACCACCUCAAGAUGGGACAGGAUGGGUACACACCAGACCUGCAGGGACUUGGGUCCCUCCACCGGCCUUGGUCCCAGAUGAGGAAGAAACACCAAGACUGACAGGGCAGAAUCAGUGGUUGCCCUGAACAAGGGGGUGGGAGCCCAGGAAAAGAGACCCUUGAACCUUUGCUUGGAAACAGCCUCCUUGUUCCUGCUCCCCCUCCCUUGGGCUGCGCCAGCCUGGAAGCAGCCACUUGAAAUGGGUCCUAGGGAGCCUGGGAGAGAGGCUGGCCUAGCUCCAGCCUCCAUCUCCUGGCGCCUCAGCCAGGCCCAUGUCCCCAGUCCCCCUCCAGCCUAGCCCCAGCUAGGGUCAGGGGGUGACAGGGAGAGCUUUUCCUCUAGGCCCUUCUAAGUCAGGAUCCACUCC
rnacentral:lncRNA from 13 species